GAGUUUGUNCCUGGAUCAGAUUGAACGCUGGCGGCAGGCCUANNANANGCAAGUCGAGCGGCAGCGGGAAGAUAGCUUGCUAUCUUCGCCGACGAGCGGCGGACGGGUGAGUAAUACCUGGGGAUCUGCCCAAUCGAGGGGGAUAACAGUUGGAAACGACUGCUAAUACCGCAUACGCCCUACGGGGGAAAGGAGGGGACCUUCGGGCCUUCCGCGAUUGGAUGAACCCAGGCGGGAUUAGCUAGUAGGUGAGGUAAUGGCUCACCUAGGCGACGAUCCCUAGCUGUUCUGAGAGGAUGGACAGCCACACUGGAACUGAGACACGGUCCAGACUCCUACGGGAGGCAUCAGUGGGGAAUAUUGGACAANGGGGGAAACCCUGAUCCAGCCAUGCCGCGUGUGUGAAGAAGGCCUUCGGGUUGUAAAGCACUUUCANUGGGGAGGAAAGGUUGAUGGUNAAUACCUAUCAGCUGUGACUUUACCCACAGAAGAAGCACCGGCUAACUCCGUGCCAGCAGCCGCGGUAAUACUGAGGGUGCAAGCGUUAAUCGGAAUUACUGGGCGUAAA
rnacentral:rRNA from 1 species